UACGGGGGGGGCAAGCGUUGUUCGGAAUUACUGGGCGUAAAGGGCUCGUAGGCGGCCAACUAAGUCAGACGUGAAAUCCCUCGGCUUAACCGGGGAACUGCAUCUGAUACUGGAUGGCUUGAGACCGGGAGAGGUGAGUGGAAUUCCCAGUGUAGCGGUGAAAUGCGUAGAUAUCAGGAGGAACACCAGUGGCGAAGGCGGUUCUCUGGGCAUUACCUGACGCUGAGGAGCGAAAGUGUGGGGAGCGAACAGG
rnacentral:rRNA from 1 species